rnacentral:rRNA from 1 species
UACGAAGGGGGCUAGCGUUGUUCGGAAUGACUGGGCGUAAAGCGCACGUAGGCGGCUUGUUUAGUCAGAGGUGAAAUCCCGGGGCUUAACCCCGGAACUGCCUUUGAUACUGGCAAGCUCGAGUCCGGAAGAGGGUGGCGGAAUACCCAGUGUAGAGGUGAAAUUCGUAGAUAUUGGGUAGAACACCGGUGGCGAAGGCGGCCACCUGGUCCGGUACUGACGCUGAGGUGCGAAAGCGUGGGGAGCAAACAGG